rnacentral:rRNA from 1 species
AACGGCGAGUGAAGCGGGAUGAGCUCAAGCUUAAAAUCUCUGUCACAAAUUUAUUUUGUGCGGCGAAUUGUAGUCUAUAGAGGCGUGAUCAGUGUAGGCGCUUGAGGUAAGUUCCUUGAAAAAGGACAGCAUGGAGGGUGAAACUCCCGUUCAUACUUAAGUGGCUUGCACGUACGAUUCGUUUUCUUUGAGUCGCGUUGUUUGAGAAUGCAGCGCAAAGUAGGUGGUAAAUUCCAUCUAAAGCUAAAUAUUGGUGCGAGACCGAUAGCGAACAAGUACCGUGAGGGAAAGAUGAAAAGAACUCUGAAAAGAGAGUUAAAGAGUACCUGAAACUGCUGAAAGGGAACCAAAUCGUUUCUAGUGUCUAUAAUCUAUGACAUAUUUCAUUGGGAAGUGUGUGCGUGUGUAUACUAUGGCAGCGGCUUUUUUUAGUUGCGCUUGGUGUGCGUGCUGUAUGUACUAACUGAUGCCCUGUGUUAUAGUGGGACGUCAAGGUCAGUUUGUAUACUGCGGGAAAUGGCUACUGAGGAGGUAGGGCUUACGCUUGCGUUUGUCUAUUAUAUCUUGGUAGUUGUGUCGUGGUUGAGACUGAGGUGUUCUACAACGUGCUUAUGAGUGGGUCUACGUCUCCGUGUGCGCCGUGUGCAGAUAGCUUGCUAUGUGUAUGUGGUGGUGUGUGGAUUGAUAUGGGCUUUAUCUUACUGCCGUUCGGGACUUUGACGAAAUAGAGCGAUUUGACCCGUCUUGAAACACGGACCAAGGAGUCUAACAUAUGUGCAAGUGUUAGGGUGUGGAAACCCCAGCGCGAAAUGAAAGUAAAGGAUAGUGUAAACUAUCUUAGGUAGGAAACGUUAUGAACUUCGGUUUGUGGCGUGGCACUAUCGACCGAUCAUGAACCCUCGUGGUGAAAGAUUUGAGUUUGAGCACAUAUGUUGGUACCCGA